UACGUAGGGGGCAAGCGUUGUCCGGAUUUACUGGGCGUAAAGGGCGUGCAGGCGGUCUGUUAAGUUCAGGGUGAAAGCUCCCGGCUCAACUGGGAGAGGUCCUUGGAUACUGGCAGACUUGAGGAGGGUAGAGGAGAGUGGAAUUCCCGGUGUAGUGGUGAUAUGCGUAGAUAUCGGGAGGAACACCAGUGGCGAAGGCGGCUCUCUGGGCCCUACCUGACGCUGAGACGCGAAAGCGUGGGGAGCGAACCGG
rnacentral:rRNA from 1 species